AUGGCCGCUGGUCCCACGUGCAAGGGACUCUCUAUUGUUCUCUGCGUUAUGCCGGGGUUGGAGAGAAUUGUGGCUGACUUCUGCGCGUGUCGUGCUAAGGCUGACCUCUACAUAGUGCCGGGUCCGCCCACUCACGGGUCUUUUCUCCGGGUCGUCCGGUGCGCUCGCCUUUUUUCCGGGUCGUCCGGUGCCUUUAGUUUAGCGCUACACAAGGCCACUGACGCUGGGGCCGUGUGGAGGGGCGGGGCCGGUGGUCAGUUGCUUUGUGUUCCCUCGCUACUGGGUUCGCGUGGCCGAUGCACACGGCUGGCAACUGGACGUGCGAGCGCCGCGCGUUGGGUCCCUCGUGCGAGGCGUGCGUCGUCUCAGUGCACGUCGCCCCCUGCGCUGGUGGCAAACCCUCCCCCAAUCACCAAAGCCGCCGCACGCCUCCCUCCUUCCUCCUCGCCCGCACCCCUGCCGCGGCGCCCAUCCCUCCCAGCCCUCCCAUCUUCGCGUUUCUCCUCCUCCCAGAACUACCUCCCGUCGCUUAGGCUCCAUGGCGGCGGCCGGCUCGAGGCGAGCCUGGCGCAGGCGGGCGGAAGCAGCGGGGAGCAACGGAUGCGGGUGGGAGAGUGCCGGACGGCGCCGUCAUUGUUCAUUGUCGCCCCGCUAAGCCGCAUCGAAGAAGGACCAGGACCUCACCCCUCAACCCUCGUCCCUCUUCCCUUCUGGAUGCACCUCCCCGCAUGAGUUCCUCCUGCCUAAUUCGGCUCCCCUUUCCAUCUAAUUUCAUUCUUGUUUCACAUGUUGGUUUGGUCGGUAAGAGACGUUGCGCCGCCGACUGCAGUAGCCAGGAUUGGUGUUGGUGAUGUCUGUACGUACCAGUUACACAAUUCCAGGUUUGGUCAAUGUCUCUGGAGCUAUGGUAUUAUCCUUUGAUUUCUCCUAUAUUUUCCUUCCUGAUUUUGUUUGAUGAUUUGCUAGGUUAUGGGAUUGGAUCUCCAUUUUCCAAGAUUCUUAGCUGAUAAGUAUAUUGUGCGGCAAAAUCUCUAGGCCAGCGCUAGGCGCCGGUGCGCCGGCCCAAAUUUGGGCCGGUCGCGCCCUAGCCAUCCGAUCCAAUUCAUCUAGGCCAUCAGUUCCUUAUCCAAAAAGCUGCUUCAUCCCUUCCCCCCUCGUGUGUCUCUCCUCUGUGUUGUCUUCCUCACCUCGCCACGCAGCUCCACCCCGUUCCCAGACAGCCGUUGCCUCCGCCCCCGCCGGCUUGCCUCGCCGUCGACAUGCGCCGCCGUCACCGGUCGCCUUUUUUACCCGCUCUGCUGCACGCCGGCAGCACCUCCCCUACACUUCUCCCUCGCCCUUUGUGGUCAUGGGUUGCCGUCGUUGGCCGCGGCAGCUCUGCUCGCCGGCAAUAGUACGACGCUUCCUCGUCCCUCGCUGGUUCCAGCAAAACAAGUAAGUGGUUGGAACAUUGUGCCCCUACCGGUGCCGCCCCAGCAUGGAUGGAACGAUGGAGACGACGAAGUAACUCGCAAAAAUCACAAUAUGUGGUUCCAGCAAAAAAUUGUGCUGGUUGUAGCAUCUCAUGUCGCUGGUUGAAGCUCGCCGCGCACCAUUAGUAGCCUCGAUCUUCUCUGGUUCCAGCAAAAAUGGACUAUGUUUGUAACAAAUGGUGUUGCCGAUUGCAGCUCCGCAUCACGGUGGUCGUAGCAUUUCGCCGCAUGUAGCAGCUCCGCCGUUGCCUGACGCAACCCCGUCGCUUUCUCUGGUUCCAGCAAAAAUGGUCAACGGUUGUAACAAAUGUUGUUGCAGGUUGCAGCUCCGCAGUACGUCGGUCGUACGUCGUCGCCUGACACAACCCCGCCGCUUUCUCUGGUUCCAGCAAACAAAGUCGCCGGAUGUAGCUUUUUGAGCUGCUGGUUGCAGCUCGAUUGCACGCAGUAGCAGCUUCCCAGCAUCUCUGAUGGUGGUUCGAGCAAAAAAUAAAUUGGUUGUAGCAUCUGUGGGGCUGGUAGCAUGCGUCCCCUACGGUCCGCAAACAUUGGUUGGCUUUCGUCUACGGCGACACCUCGGCCGCCUGGUUGCAACAUAGAGGGCCACCCAUCUCUUGUCCCAUGGCUGGAGAGGGGAAAAAGCCGAGGAGGAAGUGUGGGGGUGGCCGCCAGUUCGCUGGAGUAGGACAAAUAGAUGACGGCCUCGGUUUCACGCCCGGUGGUGCAGGGCGGUGGCCGGAGACCGAUGCUCUCACAACAACUUCCGCUCGCGGGAUGGAGGGGAUGGGUUAUGGUCGUGAGCGGGAGAUGCAGUUUGCAUCGCGACGGGAUCUGAAGAAAAGAGACGAGUGGAAGACAACACACAAGGGCUGUAGGAUUGCCUUCGAUCCAACGAAGCGCGCGCGUCCGGCGCAACGCUUCGACCGGCGCACCGGCAGCAAACGUUUCCCAAAUCUCUAUGUACUGAUGUUGUGCACAUCCAAAUACAAGCAAUCGGCGAAGAUUUCAUCCUCAACCUCCCUCACGACCCCAGAUUGGGGACAUGGCAUGAAGAUAUGGUUUUGUGAUCUAUGGUCUUGGGUCAUCCGUUGGAUGGGUGAUAAUGGAAAUUUUCUUGAGGACAGACACGUGCAAGUUUUGUGAGAGUUAAACCUGUUUUAUGAGAGUUAAACCUGUUUUAUGAGAGUUAAAGCUAUUUUUUGAGAGUUAAACAUGUGCAUACGAAUGGAUUUUUUUUAGAACUGGUCAAACUAUUUUUUUGUAAGAGUUAAAGCUGUUUUCUUGAGGACAAACCCGUGAAUAAGUCUCAUCUGUAUAGAUUAAUUAAUAUAAUAGGACAACAAUUUAAGUUUAUUGAAGCUCUUUCUAAGAAGCGGGGGUCUGCUUUGGUUUCUUGUUGUUUGCCUAUUCUCUUAAAAACAGUUGACUGGAUGCAGCUGACGGGUUAUACAUCAAUAAUUUGGGCAGUUGGAUAUGGCAUUUACAAGUAAAGGAUUUCAGAAAUCUAAUAUGGCAUGCCUAUUUUUCAUGGAAAAACGAAUGGUACCUUAUUUACUAUUUAGUUUUUAAGCUAGACUAAUUUGACUACACGCUUCCUGAGGUGCCUUCUGUUUUUGAAUAGUCAUAGAAUUCUCCUGAUUACGAGAUGUUCCUUUGUCACUAUUUGAAUUUCUGCCUUGAGUGGCCUCUGUCUUGGUUUACAGCUCCAUAUGGCUACUUAUGUAUAACAUAAGGAGGUCCUGUUUGAACUGUUCUCAAAUAUGUUUACUACAGCAAAGUGGAAUAUGCAAAGUUUCUGUGUUGAUUAGGCAAAUACUUGCUUUGCCUUAAAUACUGUCCCCAUCUAUGUUCCAGGUUUUUUGGGUAUGAAUUAUUUCCCUGGAAUGGAUCAACACAUUUGCAUGGGAUUUUAGAAAAAUAUAUGUGAAUGCAUCUUUCUAAUAAAAGCAUUGCUUAAGAAAUACCCUUUUCUGAAAUCAAAAUUGUUGUUGGUCUUCUGAUCACUUUCAUUGUCUAUCAGAUAGGCUAUGGCUUCCAUAAGCUAGCAUCAUUAGGGUCAGGUCGUUGUGUUUAGUUUAUUUUCAGUGCCUUGCAAGUUAGUGGUUCCCAGAAGAUUGUAGCCUACCUUAUUAGCGUCGACUGGCAUAUUUAUCUUUCAAUGUCAUUGCUUAACCAUGCCUGGCUGACUGCUAUAUUUAUAUAUGCACAAAGUGCUUAUUCCUUUGGUGCUUCCAGAUUGUCAAGGUAUGAGCAGAGCAGCGAGGGAUGAGAAAUGGGGUAACUUAUCGUAGACAUACAGAAAUGAAAAUAAAGCUAUGCACAGAGAAAAGUACUAUGAUCCAUCCAUCAUUGUUGGUUCACCAUUCUAAAGGAAAUAGACAAAGUGGUGCAUCUAGGAGGAAGGGAUCUAGAGACGACGAUGGACAAAACAAUCCUGCAGAGGCAGCAAGAGGCAGUUCUCGACAAAUCACUAUAAGCGCAAGGAUCCAAUGGAAGAAUUUGGUGAAGAACAAGGUCUCCAUCAUUUGGCGUCAAGGAAAGGAAGACCAUGUCAUCAUUUGGCCAGUGCAGGUCCCCAUGCCCCUGUAUCUGCCCUCGAAGCCGGGUUCCGCGAGCUAAGGUUGCAGGGGAGAAUGAACGUGCAAGUUUCCAGCAGCAAAGUUUUUUCUACAUUUGAUGGGUAGCUAAAUUAGUUUGAUUUCACGGAUGAUGGAGCCUUGCUGUGUGACGUAGUUCCUGGUGAAGAAAUAUUUGUUAGGUCUAUGUAUGUGUGUACUGGAGUUGGUGCAUCUCCAAGGAAGAACCAAACCCUUAUUCCUAUCUUACAAUAUUUUACACUUAAAUGCAAAUGCAAAGUGUUAGCUAUGUUAACUGUUGUUUCAAUCCCUUGUUUGAAAAUGUGAUUGAUUACAAAUUGUGCAUGCUCAAGUAUAUAUUUGUAAAAAGA
rnacentral:rRNA from 1 species